rnacentral:rRNA from 1 species
GAUGAACGCUGGCGGCGUGCCUAAUACAUGCAAGUCGAGCGAACAGAUAAGGAGCUUGCUCCUUUGACGUUAGCGGCGGACGGGUGAGUAACACGUGGGUAACCUACCUAUAAGACUGGAACAACUCCGGGAAACCGGGGCUAAUGCCGGAUAAUAUUUAGAACCGCAUGGUUCUAAAGUGAAAGAUGGUUUUGCUAUCACUUAUAGAUGGACCCGCGCCGUAUUAGCUAGUUGGUGGGGUAAUGGCUUACCAAGGCAACGAUACGUAGCCGACCUGAGAGGGUGAUCGGCCACACUGGAACUGAGACACGGUCCAGACUCCUACGGGAGGCAGCAGUAGGGAAUCUUCCGCAAUGGGCGAAAGCCUGACGGAGCAACGCCGCGUGAGUGAUGAAGGUCUUCGGAUCGUAAAACUCUGUUAUUAGGGAAGAACAAAUGUGUAAGUAACUGUGCACGUCUUGACGGUACCUAAUCAGAAAGCCACGGCUAACUACGUGCCAGCAGCCG